rnacentral:rRNA from 1 species
AUUGAACGCUGGCGACAGGCCUAACACAUGCAAGUCGAACGGUAACAGGAAGCAGCUUGCUGCUUCGCUGACGAGUGGCGGACGGGUGAGUAAUGUCUGGGAAGCUGCCUGAUGGAGGGGGAUAACUACUGGAAACGGUAGCUAAUACCGCAUAAUGUCGCAAGACCAAAGAGGGGGACCUUCGGGCCUCUUGCCAUCGGAUGUGCCCAGAUGGGAUUAGCUUGUUGGUGGGGUAACGGCUCACCAAGGCGACGAUCCCUAGCUGGUCUGAGAGGAUGACCAGCCACACUGGAACUGAGACACGGUCCAGACUCCUACGGGAGGCAGCAGUGGGGAAUAUUGCACAAUGGGCGCAAGCCUGAUGCAGCCAUGCCGCGUGUAUGAAGAAGGCCUUCGGGUUGUAAAGUACUUUCAGCGGGGAGGAAGGGAGUAAAGUUAAUACCUUUGCUCAUUGGCGUUACCCGCAGAAGAAGCACCGGCUAACUCCGUG